rnacentral:lncRNA from 1 species
CACAAAUCCUGGAGCUCCGCCGCAUGUAGGUUCUCAACGAGAUGGUAAAUGAGGAGUGGAGAGAACAUGAUGGAGAAAGCAGCAUCUUCAUCUCUUGAUAAUUUAAUCUUCCUGUUAGAUGGCAGCUCCUGUAAUUGACAACCAUAAGUUCUGACAUAAACUCUGAAAUAUCAAAAUAGUACCUCGUUGUGUAAGAGUCGAACUAAACCGCAAGACUCUAAAGACCCCCAGUUAUCUUCGUAUCUGCUACCUGGCCAGACUAGUUCUUCCCGACUGAUCAGGGUCCCCAGCAGCGCAACAUAAAAAGCUCGUAACACCAACAAAUACUUAUCGUCCUUAAGGUACCGAUAAUAAAAACCACGUUUGAUAUUACCCCAGGCGGUCGUUAUUGUGUUAUGGAGAUCGAUUUGAGUGAUUGAUUCAC